CACACCCCAACAGCUAGCUCAGCCACUAAAAAUCAACAAACAACAUUAAUUAUCCCCCCAAUAACCACCCCCAACAAAACAAACCAUUUUUCCACCCGAGUACGGGAGACAGAAAAGGACCCCCGGCGCCAUAGAAAAAGUACCGCAAGGGAAAGCUGAAAGAGAACUGAAAAAACCCAGUGAAGGAGACAAAAGCAAAGAUUAAACCUUGUACCUUUUGCAUCAUGAUUUAGCGAGCAUCACUCAAGCAAAACGCCUUUUAUGUUUGAGCCCCCGAAACUAAGCGAGCUACUCCAAGACAGCCUAUUAUAGGGCAAACCCGUCUCUGUGGCAAAAGAGUGGGAAGAGCUUUGAGUAGAGGUGACAGACCUACCGAGCUUAGUUAUAGCUGGUUGCCUGAGAAAUGAAUAGAAGUUCAGCCCUUUAACCCCCUCCGCCAAGCAGGGUGCCACCUCCCGCCGGCCGAAGGAAAAUUAAAGGAGUUAUUCAAAAGAGGGACAGCUCUUUUGAAAAAAGACACAACUUUAUGAGCCGGCAAAAGAUCAUAAUAUUUAAGGAAAUUCACCCAAGUGGGCCUAAAAGCAGCCACCCCUAAAGAAAGCGUUACAGCUCAAGUGUUUAAGCCCCUUAAUUUCGACAAAGACAUCUUCUGCCCCUCAGACCUACCGGGCCUACCCAUGCACCCAUGGGUGAGACAAUGCUAGAAUGAGUAAUAAGAGAGUAAGACUCUCUCAAAUGCAUCCCUGUAAAUCAGAACGAACCCCCACUGAAAAUUAACGCCCCCAACCCAAGAGGGAAAUGAAAAACACACACAAAGCAAGAAGAACCCCCAACCCCGUCGAGCGUUAACCCCACACAGGAGUGCCCCAAGAAAGACGAAAGGAAGAAGAAGGAACUCGGCAAACACUGGCCUCGCCUGUUUACCAAAAACAUCGCCUCUUGCCCCCAAGGUAUAAGAGGUCCCGCCUGCCCUGUGACGAAAGUUUAACGGCCGCGGUAUUUUGACCGUGCGAAGGUAGCGUAAUCACUUGUCUUUUAAAUAGAGACCUGUAUGAAUGGCACAACGAGGGCCAAGCUGUCUCCUUUUUCCAGUCAAUGAAAUUGAUCUGCCCGUGCAGAAGCGGGCAUAUACGCAUAAGACGAGAAGACCCUAUGGAGCUUAAGACACCAGGGCAGGCCACGUCAAAACCCCUAAGCAAACAGGAACAAACCAAAUGGCCCCUGCCCCCUUGUCUUUGGUUGGGGCGACCGCGGAGAAACAAGUAACCCCCACGUGGAAUGGGCAACCCACCCCAAAGCCAGAGCCACAGCUCUAACAAGCAGAAAAUCUGACCAUCAAGAUCCGGCAAAGCCGAUCAACGGACCCAGUUACCCUAGGGAUAACAGCGCAAUCCCCUUUUAGAGCUCAUAUCGACAAGGGGGUUUACGACCUCGAUGUUGGAUCAGGACAUCCUAAUGGUGCAGCCGCUAUUAAGGGUUCGUUUGUUCAACGAUUAAAGUCCUACGUGAUCUGAGUUCAGACCGGAGAAAUCCAGGUCAGUUUCUAUCUAUGACGCACUCUUUUCUAGUACGAAAGGACCGAAAAGAGGGGGCCCAUGCUUUAAGUAAGCCCCACCCCGACCUAAUGAGCCCCACUAAAGGAGGCAAAGGGGGUUGCCCCAGUGCCCGAGAAAAAGGCAA
rnacentral:rRNA from 1 species